rnacentral:rRNA from 1 species
ACGCUGGCGGCAGGCUUAACACAUGCAAGUCGAACGGUAACAGGGAUUAGCUUGCUAAUUUGCUGACGAGUGGCGGACGGGUGAGUAAUGCUUGGGAAUCUGGCUUAUGGAGGGGGAUAACUACGGGAAACUGUAGCUAAUACCGCGUAAUAUCGGAAGAUUAAAGGGUGGGACUUUCGGGCCACCUGCCAUAAGAUGAGCCCAAGUGGGAUUAGGUAGUUGGUUAGGUAAAGGCUGACCAAGCCGACGAUCUCUAGCUGGUCUGAGAGGAUGACCAGCCACACUGGAACUGAGACACGGUCCAGACUCCUACGGGAGGCAGCAGUGGGGAAUAUUGCACAAUGGGGGGAACCCUGAUGCAGCCAUGCCGCGUGAAUGAAGAAGGCCUUCGGGUUGUAAAGUUCUUUCGGUGACGAGGAAGGUUGAUAUGUUAAUAGCGUAUCAAAUUGACGUUAAUCACAGAAG